rnacentral:rRNA from 1 species
UACGAAGGGGGCGAGCGUUGUUCGGAUUUACUGGGCGUAAAGGGCGCGUAGGCGGUUCGUACAGUCAGACGUGAAAUUCCUGGGCUCAACCUGGGGGCUGCGUUUGAUACGUGCGGACUUGAGUGCGGAAGAGGGUCGUGGAAUUCCCAGUGUAGAGGUGAAAUUCGUAGAUAUUGGGAAGAACACCGGUGGCGAAGGCGGCGACCUGGUCCGAUACUGACGCUGAGGCGCGAAAGCGUGGGGAGCAAACAGG